GCGAAGGGGGGACGGAGAAGGCUAUGUUGGCCGGGCGACGGUUGUCCCGGUUUAAGCGUGUAGGCUGGUUUUCCAGGCAAAUCCGGAAAAUCAAGGCUGAGGCGUGAUGACGAGGCACUACGGUGCUGAAGCAACAAAUGCCCUGCUUCCAGGAAAAGCCUCUAAGCAUCAGGUAACAUCAAAUCGUACCCCAAACCGACACAGGUGGUCAGGUAGAGAAUACCAAGGCGCUUGAGAGAACUCGGGUGAAGGAACUAGGCAAAAUGGUGCCGUAACUUCGGGAGAAGGCACGCUGAUAUGUAGGUGAGGUCCCUCGCGGAUGGAGCUGAAAUCAGUCGAAGAUACCAGCUGGCUGCAACUGUUUAUUAAAAACACAGCACUGUGCAAACACGAAAGUGGACGUAUACGGUGUGACGCCUGCCCGGUGCCGGAAGGUUAAUUGAUGGGGUUAGCGGUAACGCGAAGCUCUUGAUCGAAGCCCCGGUAAACGGCGGCCGUAACUAUAACGGUCCUAAGGUAGCGAAAUUCCUUGUCGGGUAAGUUCCGACCUGCACGAAUGGCGUAAUGAUGGCCAGGCUGUCUCCACCCGAGACUCAGUGAAAUUGAACUCGCUGUGAAGAUGCAGUGUACCCGCGGCAAGACGGAAAGACCCCGUGAACCUUUACUAUAGCUUGACACUGAACAUUGAGCCUUGAUGUGUAGGAUAGGUGGGAGGCUUUGAAGUGUGGACGCCAGUCUGCAUGGAGCCGACCUUGAAAUACCACCCUUUAAUGUUUGAUGUUCUAACGUUGACCCGUAAUCCGGGUUGCGGACAGUGUCUGGUGGGUAGUUUGACUGGGGCGGUCUCCUCCUAAAGAGUAACGGAGGAGCACGAAGGUUGGCUAAUCCUGGUCGGACAUCAGGAGGUUAGUGCAAUGGCAUAAGCCAGCUUGACUGCGAGCGUGACGGCGCGAGCAGGUGCGAAAGCAGGUCAUAGUGAUCCGGUGGUUCUGAAUGGAAGGGCCAUCGCUCAACGGAUAAAAGGUACUCCGGGGAUAACAGGCUGAUACCGCCCAAGAGUUCAUAUCGACGGCGGUGUUUGGCACCUCGAUGUCGGCUCAUCACAUCCUGGGGCUGAAGUAGGUCCCAAGGGUAUGGCUGUUCGCCAUUUAAAGUGGUACGCGAGCUGGGUUUAGAACGUCGUGAGACAGUUCGGUCCCUAUCUGCCGUGGGCGCUGGAGAACUGAGGGGGGCUGCUCCUAGUACGAGAGGACCGGAGUGGACGCAUCACUGGUGUUCGGGUUGUCAUGCCAAUGGCACUGCCCGGUAGCUAAAUGCGGAAGAGAUAAGUGCUGAAAGCAUCUAAGCACGAAACUUGCCCCGAGAUGAGUUCUCCCUGACUCCUUGAGAGUCCUGAAGGAACGUUGAAGACGACGACGUUGAUAGGCCGGGUGUGUAAGCGCAGCGAUGCGUUGAGCUAACCGGUACUAAUGAACCGUGAGGCUUAACCUUACAACGCCGAAG
rnacentral:rRNA from 1 species